ensembl:misc_RNA Metazoa_SRP Metazoan signal recognition particle RNA
UGGGUGCGGUGGCGCGUGCCUGUAGUCCCAGCUAUUCAGGAGGCUGAGGCUGGAGGAUCUCUUGAGUCCAGGAGUUCUGGGCUGUAUUGCGCUAUGUUGAUCAGGUGUCUGCACUAAGUUCGGCAUCAAUAUGGUGACCUCCCGGGAGCGGGGGACCACCAGGUUGCCUAAAGAGGGGUGAACCGGCCCAGGUCAGAAAUGGAGCAGGUCAAAACUCCCAUGCUGAUCAGUAGUGGGAUCGCGCCUGUGAAUAGCCAUUGCACUCCAACCUGGGCAACAUAGGGAGACCCCGUCUCUU